GUAGGGUGCGAGCGUUAAUCGGAAUUACUGGGCGUAAAGCGUGCGCAGGCGGUUUUGUAAGACAGAGGUGAAAUCCCCGGGCUCAACCUGGGAACUGCCUUUGUGACUGCAAGGCUUGAGUGCGGCAGAGGGGGAUGGAAUUCCGCGUGUAGCAGUGAAAUGCGUAGAUAUGCGGAGGAACACCGAUGGCGAAGGCAAUCCCCUGGGCCUGCACUGACGCUCAUGCACGAAAGCGUGGGGAGCAAACAGGAUUAGAUACCCUGGUAGUCCACGCCCUAAACGAUGUCAACUGGUUGUUGGGAAGGUUCCUUCUCAGUAACGUAGCUAACGCGUGAAGUUGACCGCCUGGGGAGUACGGCCGCAAGGUUGAA
rnacentral:rRNA from 1 species